rnacentral:rRNA from 1 species
GUACCUGACUAAGAAGCCCCGGCUAACUACGUGCCAGCAGCCGCGGUAAUACGUAGGGGGCAAGCGUUAUCCGGAUUUACUGGGUGUAAAGGGAGCGUAGACGGAUGGACAAGUCUGAUGUGAAAGGCUGGGGCUCAACCCCGGGACUGCAUUGGAAACUGCCCGUCUUGAGUGCCGGAGAGGUAAGCGGAAUUCCUAGUGUAGCGGUGAAAUGCGUAGAUAUUAGGAGGAACACCAGUGGCGAAGGCGGCUUACUGGACGGUAACUGACGUUGAGGCUCGAAAGCGUGGGGAGCAAACAGGAUUAGAUACCCUGGUAGUCCACGCGGUAAACGAUGAAUGUUAGGUGUCGGGUGACAAAGUCAUUCGGUGCCGCCGCAAACGCAUUAAGCAUUCCACCUGGGGA